rnacentral:rRNA from 1 species
UACGUAGGGGGCGAGCGUUGUCCGGAGUUACUGGGCGGAAAGCGCACGCAGGCGGUCUGCUAAGUUUGGAGUGACAGUGCUCGGCUUAACUGAGCAAGUGCUUCGAAAACUGACAGACUUGAGGGCUUCAGAGGGACAUGGAAUUCCGGGUGUAGUGGUGAAAUGCGUAGAUAUCCGGAGGAACACCAAAGGCGAAGGCAGUGUCCUGGGAAGUACCUGACGCUCAGGUGCGAAAGCUAGGGGAGCGAACGGG